AGAGUUUGAUCCUGGCUCAGGACGAACGCUGGCGGCGUGCUUAACACAUGCAAGUCGAACGAUGAUGCCCAGCUUGCUGGGCGGAUUAGUGGCGAACGGGUGAGUAAUACGUGAGUAACCUGCCCUUGACUCUGGGAUAAGCCUGGGAAACUGGGUCUAAUACUGGAUACUACCUCUUGCCGCAUGGUGGGUGGUGGAAAGGGUUUUACUGGUUUUGGAUGGGCUCACGGCCUAUCAGCUUGUUGGUGGGGUAAUGGCUCACCAAGGCGACGACGGGUAGCCGGCCUGAGAGGGUGACCGGCCACACUGGGACUGAGACACGGCCCAGACUCCUACGGGAGGCAGCAGUGGGGAAUAUUGCACAAUGGGCGGAAGCCUGAUGCAGCGACGCCGCGUGAGGGAUGACGGCCUUCGGGUUGUAAACCUCUUUCAGUAGGGAAGAAGCGAGAGUGACGGUACCUGCAGAAGAAGCGCCGGCUAACUACGUGCCAGCAGCCGCGGUAAUACGUAGGGCGCAAGCGUUGUCCGGAAUUAUUGGGCGUAAAGAGCUCGUAGGCGGUUUGUCGCGUCUGCUGUGAAAGCCCGGGGCUCAACCCCGGGUCUGCAGUGGGUACGGGCAGACUAGAGUGCAGUAGGGGAGACUGGAAUUCCUGGUGUAGCGGUGAAAUGCGCAGAUAUCAGGAGGAACACCGAUGGCGAAGGCAGGUCUCUGGGCUGUUACUGACGCUGAGGAGCGAAAGCAUGGGGAGCGAACAGGAUUAGAUACCCUGGUAGUCCAUGCCGUAAACGUUGGGCACUAGGUGUGGGGGACAUUCCACGUUUUCCGCGCCGUAGCUAACGCAUUAAGUGCCCCGCCUGGGGAGUACGGCCGCAAGGCUAAAACUCAAAGGAAUUGACGGGGGCCCGCACAAGCGGCGGAGCAUGCGGAUUAAUUCGAUGCAACGCGAAGAACCUUACCAAGGCUUGGCAUUCACCGGACCGCCCCAGAGAUGGGGUUUCCCUUCGGGGCUGGUGGACAGGUGGUGCAUGGUUGUCGUCAGCUCGUGUCGUGAGAUGUUGGGUUAAGUCCCGCAACGAGCGCAACCCUCGUUCUAUGUUGCCAGCACGUGAUGGUGGGGACUCAUAGGAGACUGCCGGGGUCAACUCGGAGGAAGGUGGGGAUGACGUCAAAUCAUCAUGCCCCUUAUGUCUUGGGCUUCACGCAUGCUACAAUGGCCGGUACAAAGGGUUGCGAUACUGUGAGGUGGAGCUAAUCCCAAAAAGCCGGUCUCAGUUCGGAUUGAGGUCUGCAACUCGACCUCAUGAAGUCGGAGUCGCUAGUAAUCGCAGAUCAGCAACGCUGCGGUGAAUACGUUCCCGGGCCUUGUACACACCGCCCGUCAAGUCACGAAAGUUGGUAACACCCGAAGCCGGUGGCCUAACCCCUUGUGGGAGGGAGCCGUCGAAGGUGGGACUGGCGAUUGGGACUAAGUCGUAACAAGGUAACC
rnacentral:rRNA from 1 species